rnacentral:rRNA from 1 species
ACGAACGCUGGCGGCAGGCCUAACACAUGCAAGUCGAGCGAGACCUUCGGGUCUAGCGGCGGACGGGUUAGUAACGCGUGGGAACGUGCCCUUCUCUGCGGAAUAGCCACUGGAAACGGUGAGUAAUACCGCAUACGCCCUUCGGGGGAAAGAUUUAUCGGAGAAGGAUCGGCCCGCGUUAGAUUAGAUAGUUGGUGGGGUAACGGCCUACCAAGUCUACGAUCUAUAGCUGGUUUUAGAGGAUGAUCAGCAACACUGGGACUGAGACACGGCCCAGACUCCUACGGGAGGCAGCAGUGAGGAAUAUUGGACAAUGGGCGAGAGCCUGAUCUAGCCAUGCCGCGUGUGUGAUGAAGGUCUUAGGAUCGUAAAGCACUUUCGCCAGGGAUGAUAAUGACGGUACCCGCAGAAUAAGCUCCGGCUAACUUCGUG